UACCCACCUUUAAAAAUUUUAGGAAAAACUUCAAAAACAUCCCUGUGGUUUCGUGAAUUCUCAUUUUGCUACCAUGUAGUUUAAAACGUAUCAUUUUGCCCCCCUGUGGUUUCGUUUUUAUCUUUUUGUUAUCAACUUUAUUAUUAUUAUUUUUUAAAAUCAGUGACAAAGUUAAAAUUAAAGGAUACUAAAGUGACUAUUCGAUAAAUAUAGAUGGUUAUCUGAAGUUUUUUGUAUAUAAUUUAACGAAAUAUUAACGAAAAAGCUUCCGAAAAGAUAAAAAUGAAACCACAGGGGGGUAAAUUGAUACGUUUUAAACCACAGAGUAGCAAAGUGAGAAUGCACGAAACCACAGGGGGGUUUUUGAAGUUUUCCCAAAAUUUUAAUUUAAUUAUCUCAUUUUUUAAUGUUUUGGAAUUAACUUGUCGCCGUAAGAAAAAUUGGAAGCACCGUUCUCAGGGACGGAACUACGGAAGCUAUGCGGAGGCCCUAGGUGGGAUUUUUUUAUAAACUAAUUCUUUAGUUACCGUUUGGUUCGGGAUUAAGUAGAAAAUAGUUAUUCCAAGAAUAGAGUUAAGUUCAAGAUUAAGGUGAGAUUAAAGUAAUUUUGUGUUUGGUUGAGCAUUGGUUUUAGUCCAAGUAUAAAUAAAAUAGUGUUUGAUUGGAGUAAAUAGGAUAAGAAGGAUAGUGGAUUAUUAUAAAUAAAAAAUAAUAAUUUUGCUUCAAUUUUUAUAUUUAAAUUUAAAUUUUAAAUUAAAAUAAUUAAAAAUAAUAAUUUUAAAUUUUGAAUAGGGGUGGGAUUAAGUUAAUCCCACAACCUAUUCCUCGGGUGGGGCCCCCCAAUUGGGUGUUUGGGAAUAACUUCGGGGUUAAGGGGUUAUUCCCUCCCUUAACCCCGAAACAAACAGUGGCUUAGAAUUUUAAAAUUUAUAAAAUAAUUUUUUCAAAAUUAUAUUUGUAAAGCUAAUCCUCUUUUCGCCGCGUUGAGAAAUUUUUUUUUUAUGAAAUCUUACUAAUAUAUAAUUAGCAAAGACGAUAAAUGGUUCAUCGUAUUUUGCUUAUUUAAUAUUAUUUUCUAUAUCCCAUAUAUAAUCUUAACAACUGCAUAAAAAUUAUAACAAAACCAAUAUAAUUUUAGCAACCUAAAAAUUCUAAUAAUCUAUCUAUAUAAUACUAACAAUCAAAUAAAAAUUCUAAUAAUCCAUGUAUAAUCCUAAAAAGCUCACUUUUUUUAUUUUUCAUCUAACAAACUCAUAUUUUUCUGUAUGUGAAUUAUAUAAAAAAAUAGAAAAAAGUGAGGUGGUUAGAUGAAGAAUAGAAAAAAGUGAGGUUGUUAAGAUUAUGUGGAUUAUGAAAAAUAGAAAAAAAAUAAGGUUAUUAGAUGAAAAUUUUUUCUCUAUGUGGAUUACAUAAAAAAAUAGAAAAAAGUGAGGUUGUUAGAUGAAGAAUAGAAAAAAGUGAGGUUGCUAAGAUUACGUGGAUUAUGAAAAAUAGAAAAAAAAUAAGGUUAUUGGUUGAAAAAUAGGAAAAAGUGAGAUUGUUAGAUGAAAAAUAGAAAAAAAUGAGGUUGUUAAGAUUAUGUGGAUUAUGAAAAAUAGAAAAAAAAAAAGGUUAUUAGAUGAAAAAUAGGAAAAAGUGAGGUUUUUAGUAUGGUAAGAUUAUUGAAAUUUUUAUUUGAUUGUUAGAAUUAUAUGGAUAGAUUAUUAGAAUUUUUAAGUUGUUAAGAUUAUAUGUGAUUUGUUGUAAUUUUUAUAUUAAAACUAUAUGGAUAGAUUACUAUAAUUUUUAGAUUGUUAAGAUUAUACGUGAUUUAUUGUAAUUUUUAUGUAAUUGUUAAGAUUAUAUAUCGGAUAUAGAAAAAAUAUUAAAUAAGAAAAAGACGGUGAACUAUUCACCAUCUUUGCUAAUUAUAUUAGUAAGACGAUGAAUCGUUUACAGUCUUACUGAAGGCGGUAAACGAUUCACCGUCUAUGUAAAAAAAAUCCACCCCUAUUCUUACAUGGUGAAAGGAGAGUUAGUUUUACAAAUAUAAUCUUGGAAGAAUUAUUUCGUAAAUUUUAAAAUUCUAGAGGAUUAGUUUAUUAAAAAGUCUUUUUGAAGAUUUGAAGGGGAGCCAGCUGCUUCCGGAUAAUUAGUCAUUGCUGCUGUCACAACUAUCUUAAUUAUGAGAAUCAUGUUACCUGUUUAUUUUUUAAAAAAAUAAACUUAAUUAAAAAUAUAAAUUAACUAAAAUUCGAAUUUGAAAUUUUGAAUACCAGCCACUUUGCCACUUACAAUAAGAACAGUCGUUGUCAUCGACUUGCGGUUACUUUCAAUAAUCGGGAGAUCCAGAGUUAGAAGAAAUUCGUAUUUUGUAUGUAGCAUGUCCUACUUGCCAAUCCACUUGCAUGAUUUUAUAUCUAUACUAUAUAUAAAAGCACGUAUAUUCAAAUUUGGGUCUGUCGACAGACCCAUUUUUCGACGGAAAAAUUAGCGCCCAUUUUUCUCUUUCCGUACGAAAAAUUUUAAAUAUAAGAAUAAAAAUAGAAAUAGAAACAGCAAUGUAAGUUCUCUAUAACAGACUAUUUAAUUUCAAAAGUAAUUUUUCUAUAAGAGAUUACAGGUUGAAAAUCCUAUAAAAGAUAUUUUCCUAUUUUAUUUUAAAAUAUCUUUUUUAGAUAUUAUCUAUUUAAUUUCAAAAUAUAUUUUCUUUUUAAGAUAACGGAUUUUAUUUUUCUAUUUAAUUUCAAAAUUUUAUUUCAGAUUUUAAUUUUCUAUUUAAUUUCAAAAGUAAUUUUUGCAUUAGAGAUUAUUAUUAAUUAUUUAUCAUUUAAAGCAUAUCUUUCUUAAUAGCGUGAUUUAUUAUUUUAAAUUUUUUAGAUACAUAUUU
rnacentral:lncRNA from 1 species